AUUGAACGCUGGCGGCAGGCCUAACACAUGCAAGUCGAGCGGAGCGGCGGACGGGUGAGUAAUGUCUGGGAAUCUGCCUGGUAGUGGGGGAUAACGUCCGGAAACGGGCGCUAAUACCGCAUACUAUCAGAUGAGCCUAGGUCGGAUUAGCUAGUUGGUGGGGUAAAGGCCUCCCAAGGCGACGAUCCCUAGCUGGUCUGAGAGGAUGACCAGCCAAACUGGAACUGAAACACGGGCCAAACUCCUACGGGAGGCAGCAGGGGGGAAUAUUGCACAAUGGGCGCAAGCCUGAUGCAGCCAUGCCGCGUGUAGGAAGAAGGCCUUCGGGUUGUAAAGUACUUUCAGCGGGGAGGCGUUACCCGCAGAAGAAGCACCGGCUAACUCCGUGCCAGCAGCCGCGGUAAUUC
rnacentral:rRNA from 1 species